GCAGCACAGCAAAGGAAAGUGCUCACUGAACCAGGUGGGCUGAAAAGAUCCUCCUGGGUUUUCUCAGGUGAGGUUUGCGUGCAUCCCGCGGGAUCACAGCAUCGAAUUCUUUUCCAGAGGAAAGCGCUUCCGGGUCUGACCUUAGAGCCUGAUCCUUAGUCAUUCCUGGAGAGAGGCGUCAGAGGAGGAAGGGAUUUCACAACUGAAUAGUACUCCGUUCAUUGCUGAAGAAUCCGAUUGAAUAGAAUUCCAUGAUGCUUAUGUGACCUGUGGUUCGUUUCACUGUCCAGUGCAGAUGUGCUUGAAAUUGAUGCUCACUCUGGUCUCCAAUUGCCUGCAGUCUCAUGUCAGCCCCCAAGUCCCCCUCUCUCAGCUACUCUCAGACUCAAGACCUGGAAAAAUCAUGAACUACAAGACCUAAAAAGAAGAACUCUGGUCUUUGAGCCACAGAUUUGGGCUGACUUGUUAUGAUUUUAACAGCUAACAAGCACAUGUUUGCAACGACCUCUGGGACAGGAGCUGUGAUCUCUGCUUCACCAACGUGGAAAGCAGGCUCUAACUUCAAACACAUGUGCUAUCAUAGUGAAGACGCAGAACUUGGGUACGAGCAUAUGUUCAUGCUUCAACCAAAGCUUUACUCCUGUGAACGGACACCAUGACCAAGGCAACUCUUAUAAAGGACAACAUUUAAUUGGGGCUGGCUUACAGGUCAGAAGUUCGGUCCAUUAUCAUCAAGGCAGGAACAUGGCAGCAUCCAGGCUGCAGGAGGAGCUGAGAGUUCUACAUCUUCAUCUGAAGGCUGCUAGCAGAAUACUGACUUCCAGGCAGCUAGGAUGAUGAGGGUCUCUAAGCCCACGCCCACAGUGACACACUUACUCCAAUGAGGCCACACCCACUCCAACAAGGCCACACCUCCAAAUAGUGCCAUUCCCUGGGCCAAGCAUAUUCAAACCAUGAGAGCACCAUGACUUGAUCCUGCAUGAGGCUGGAAGAAGUAAUUAUGUGCCUCUCUGUAUCUGCCCUGUAGUCUUUUGAUAAUCUGGAAUUAAACAGAGAAUUCUUUGGUGUUUAGAUGAGCAGUGUCUGCUCACAGCAGUCCAGUCCACGAGUUAGCUGGCAAUGGCAGACUCAGAAGGCAAUUGUUAGCUUGUAUCUCAUUGGGAACAGGGCUACUGUACCAUGAGCCCCAGACAGUACUGCUAGUUGGAGGAGGUGGAUGGUGGGUCAUGGAUCCCUGGCUGCCCUGGUGAGAUCUGGAGAGGGCUGUGGAAUCCCAAGCUCAAGGCAGACCAGAAAGAACCACAUGGUGUGUGGUGGAAAAUGGGGAAGGAGAAGGGAACAAACAAGGCCAAGGAGUGGGAGAGCAGCUGAAGAGGAAAUGAGAAAUGGUGCAGUUAACAGACAUUCCGAAGAACAAGGAGAAAAACACUCAGGAAGACUGAGGACAACUCUGCGGAGAUAAGCAAUGGAGGCUCUUCUGUUCAUGCACCACAGGAUGCUCUGUCAAAGCCCACACUUCUCACUGGGACGACAGAGUAGUUAAGAACUCUUGCAGCCCGCCUAGGACUGGAGUUUGGGUUUCAGCACCCGUGCCUGAUAGCUCACAGUUGCCUGUACUUUAGUUCCAGGACAGUGACACCCUCUUAUGACCAGUGAGUGGCCAAGUGGCAUUGGUCAUCCUGUAUCCCUGAUGCCUGGCACCAUGGGUAGAACUCCCCAUUUUUCCACCUCCUAUCCAACCCCCUGCCUAACACACACACAUGCAUGCACAAUUGCCUUCAAACCUCUUAGCAGAUGUAAAAUGUGCUAUGUAAUAAUAAAUAUUUCCAAGAAGACAGAGGCUAUUUAUUUAGCCCAACACCUGUCUAAUGUCUAUAAAACCUCAGGGAUCAGUUAACGAUAGGACAUCCAUAGUAUAAAUAAAACAUUUUAUGACCUCAAGAAU
ensembl:lincRNA